rnacentral:misc_RNA from 1 species
AUAUUCUUGCCUGGGAUCUCUGUCGCUCAUCCAUGGAUGCACCAUCUAUAUCUGCCUCGUUUUCUCAAUUUUUCCUGUUGUACAUUGAUCUGCUGGUUGUUUGAAGUUUGGUCACUCCAUUUGGCCUUUUACAUGCUCUUAAAUUUUAUGCUGUGUGUCAAGUAAUAUCUGGUGGUAAUGCUUUUCAGGCGGUGGAGAGAGUUGGCAG